CAUCAGGCCGUGAGCUCGAUGGUCCCUUCUGCACAACAGGCUGUGAAUGCCGUUCCAAUUUCCACAGUUUCACAGGAGAUGAGCCCCCUUUGCAUACACAAUGGUAAGAGUGGCAAUGCAGAAGAGAGGCUCCUCUUCCUAUGGAUUUGCUUCAUGGAGGUCAGGGCUCUCAGUGAUUUUAUUCUCACUUCUACUUAACCACUGAGGAUUUCGUCACUCUUCAAUUUCUUUUGCAAAGCAAGAGAUCCCAGGAACAUUUCAAAAAAAGGGUUGGAGGCAUAGCUGGACAAAUAAAGUACCCUCCCAUAGGACCCAGGAGCAAGAGCUUACUAAGA